GGAUAUAUAGCUCAGUGGUAGAAUACUUGCCUUGCAUGUACAAGGCUCUGGGUUCAAUUCCCAAUACUACCA
rnacentral:tRNA from 1 species